GUUAUUGAUCGUCUUUUUCUUAUCAAUUUAGCUCCAAACGUAUCCCCAACGGCUCCGUGGAUCCUGAAACGCAAUUAACAAGUAUUAAACUCCAAGUAGCACACUAAAUGAACAUAACAAGCCUAAAUUAAGGGGUGUAAACAGGCAUAUUUACGCACCUAUCAAUGCAAGAAUACACGAAGAGACUCAAGGAAAGCGGGUUGUUGCAAUAUUUGAAUAUAAUUGGAUAUGAAGCUUUUGCAAAUUUUAUUUGAUGACAGGAGUUCCUCAUUUUCUGCAUACGUAGGAACUGAAUUGCUUAAAGUAAUCCUUCUAUCCUUAAUGCAUAAAUGCAAGUAAAAAUUUGCAUGUUUAUAAUCUACCCCUAAUGCUACCCUGUUGUCACUUGAGGUCUCCAACAGUUGUUUGUUUGUCAUGGAUGGUUCUUAUCUUAUAACUUGGAAGUGUUUUUCAUUAGUUUGUUUGUUUCUACUAUUGUAAGAGGCGACAAUGAUGGUUUAAUAGAGAGGGGAGACAUGAGGAGUGGACCCAAGGGCGUUUCUUGCAAUGUUACUGCUGAAUACUGAAGGUUGCUUCCAAUGGAUUUUCAGUUCACUCUCAAAUAGAUCUCCUCCUUGAUGAACGUCAUGAGUAAUUGUUGGGCUGCAUGGGAACUACCUGAGGUUCUGCUUACAAAUCCUUUUCCUUCUUCGUUCUAUCUUGAUGAAAAUGUGGGCUUGUCUCAUGCAAAAAUAUAGUCUCAUUUGUUGUAGCACUUCUUGUUUGCUAUUAUACUUCAAUAGUUCCAUAUUUGUUUCACUUCUAAUAAUAGUGGCUCUCGUUCUAUCUUGAUGAAAAUGUGUGCUUGUCU